rnacentral:lncRNA from 1 species
GAUGGUGCCUCUCAUACAUACAAGGCCAGCCGACACAACACCCAAUUCCUUUUAGCAAUUGAAAAUACACAAAUUAAGUCUUUAACACGAUAAAAUCUCAAUUAAGCAGUGAAAACAAAACAAUUUGCGGAAUAUAAAACCAACAAAGCCCGACAUCGGGGUGUCACCAGUCAUGAGCAUCUAUCAUAAGAAAUACAAGUCUUUAAAGAGUCUACUCAACAAUUACAUAACCAAAACAGAAGAAAAUAAGAUAAAGGGAGAAGCACUAGGCUGCGAACGCCGAGCAGCUACCUAGUGAAUCUCCGAAGUCUACUAGAAGCUCUCAACCCUCGUGAGCAGGACCUGAAGCGCCUGAAUCUGCACAUGGGGUGCAGGGAGUAAAGUGAGUACUCCAACUCAAUGAGUAAUAAUAAUAAAUGCAGACUCGGAAAUCACGUAAAGGCACAUCAAUAGGAUAUAAAGAAAACAGUAAAAGCCAGUAAAAAUAAUGAAACAGUGAAAAUGUGUAAAGUCACUUUAGUUCAGUUUAAGCUUCUUUAGAAUGCCUUUUUAAUAUCUAAGCAAGUAAAUUAUAGGUAACUAGAAAAAAUAAACACAUAAAGAACCGCCCCUCAGGCUCAAUACCAACAAAAUCAGCCCAUCGGGCAACACAUGGAACAACACCAGCCCCUCGGGCUAUAUCUCAAAUCACAAUGGGUACCUGCGCUCACUGGGGGUGUGUAGACUCCUGGAGGGGCCCCUUACGGCCCAAGCGCAAUAUCACAUAGGCUCUCGGCCUCAUAUCAACAAGCCACCUUGUGGCGUACAAUCUCAGGCCCCUCGGCCUUAUAAUCAUAAGCAGUGUAUCCACACAACAUAGGCCCUCGGCCUUACUCAGUCAAAAUCUCAUAAGCCACUAGGGCAAUAGUAAAACAUGAUGCUCAGCCCAAAUUAUCAUUUAAAAUAUCAUUUAAUGUAUUAAAACAGAGUAUACAUGGAUGAGUUAUGAAAAUAGUAGAUUAUAGCAUGACUGAGUACAAGUAUAAAGUCAAAACGGUGAGGAAAUAUCAGUAAAAGAUCUCCUAAGGGUCCAAAUAGUUGGCACGAGGCCCAAUUAUGGCAUUCAGCCCAAAACAUGAUGAUAGCAAAUACUUUUAAAUCAAAUACUAGGUAAAACAGUCAUUUGGGACAGACAAGUCACAAUCCCAAAUGGUGCACGACCCCACGCUCGUCGUCUAGCGUGUACGUCACCUUAAUAUAGCACAACGAUGUGUAAUCCGGGUUUUCAUACCCUCAGGACAACAUUUACAAUCAUUACUCACCUCCAUCCGGUCCAAACUCUAGCCCGCGAUGCCUUUGCCCCUCGAAUCGGCGUCCACUCGCAUCGAAUCUAUCCAAAUCAUAAUCAUGACGUCAAAAUAUGCUAAAGCAACGAAGCUCAUGCGAAAAUAAACAAGUUAUAGCAUAAAUCCCAAAAUUAACCAAAACCCGACCCCCGGGACCAUGUCUUUGAAUAUGAUAAAAUUUACAUCAAUAGAUUCCGUAUCUCCCCACGAGUUCAUACAUAUCAAAAGUCUAAAAACCAACCGCAACUGGCCAUUCAAAUCCUCAAGUCUAGGUCUCCAAUACCAAGCCCUAGUUUCCCCAAUUUUAACCCUUAAAUUCCAUUAAUUACAGCUCUAAUCCGUGAAAUAAUACCACAUUAUCGAUUAUUAGACUUGAAAAUCUUACCUCCAGACGAUAUCCCUUGAUUCCCUCUUCAAAAUCUCCCAAAAAGCUCCAAAACCGACUUGAAAUGGUGACGAAUAACUCAAAAAUUGCGAAGGAUUACUUUUAUACCUUCUGGCCUAGGGAUUCUGCACCUGCGGCCAAUUUUUUGCUUCUGCGGUGCUGCUUUUGCUGUCCCAAGCACCGCAUCUGCGGUCCUCACUUAAGUCCUCCAAUUCCACAUCUGCGAUGUCCAAUCCGCACUUGCGCCAUCGUAGGUGCGGUUCCUUAACCGCUUCUGCAAUUCCUGCCUCCCUUGCUUUCUUCCGCAUCUGCGACUCCCAAACUCACUUAUGCGAGACCUCACCUGCGGUCCCCUUGCCGCAGGUGCGGUUAUGAUAGCAAAUGGCACAUCUUCAGCUGCCAAAACCAAUUUCCAAACUUUCCGCGAACCAUCCGAAAUCACCCCGAGGCCCCCAGGACCUCAACCAAAAGCACAAAUACACCAUAUACCACCAUCCAAACUUAUAACAAUCUUCAAAACACCUCAAACAACCUCGAAUAAACCAAAACACAUCGGAUUCAAGCCUAAGUUUCCAAAAUCUUCUGAAUUACACUUUUGAUCAAAAAGUAUAAUAAACCAUGUUCAAAUGGCCUGAAAUUUUGCACACAUAUCCCAAAUGACACAACGGUCUUACUACAACUCUCGAAAUUCUAUUCCAAGCCCUAUAUGAAAAUCUCACCUAUCAACCGGAAAAUGCCAAAAUACCAAUUUCGCCAAUUCAAGCCUAAAUCUACUAUGUACCUCCAAAACACAUUCCGAUCACGCUCCUAAGGCUCAAAUCACCUCCCGAAGCUAUCUGAACCAUCAGAACUCACAUCUGAGCCCUCUAACACAUAAGUCAACAUCCGGUUAACUUUUCCAACUUAAGCUUCCUCAAAAGAGACUACGUGUCUCCAAAGAAAUACCGAUAAACAAAGAAAUAAGAAGCAGAAAUACGGGAAACGGAGAGGUAACUCAUGAGACGACUGGUCGGGUCGUUACAAUAUUCCUUAUAGAUUUCGAGAUAUAAGCUUCCAACGUAGGCUCCUCACAUCAAAAAUUUCUGGAAAAAUUACAAAACAACUUUACUAGUCUUUAUUCAAUCGAUCAUAACUUUCUGUACAAAUGAUCAAAUGAUGAAUGGUUUAGCUUUCUGGAAACUAGAAUCAAAGCACUACAACUUUCAUGUUUUGCAAAUUUUCAGAUUCCUUAGAGAUUUCGAGAUAUAAGCUUCCAAAAUAGACUCCAUGAUUGCACAGUUGUUGUCCAAAGACAGCUGCUGCUGCUGAAAAUUCCAGCAGCCUCUUUUGCUCGAAAUCUAUUUCGUUAACCUUCUGAAAUCCACCCGAGACACUAGGAACCUUAACCAAUUAUACCAACAUGUCCAAAAGUACAAUACAAACUUAAUGGAGGCUUCAAACCACGUCAAACAAUGCCGAAAUUAUGAAUCGUGCGCAAAUCUUCCAACUUCUACAUUUUGCGCAGAAACAUAUCAAAUCAAUCCGGAAUGACUUCAAAUAUUGCACAUAAGUCAUAAAUGACAUAAUGGAUCUUUUUCAAUUUUUUGAAUCGGACUCCGACCCCGAUAUCAAAAGUCAACUCUCGGUCAAACUUUCCAAAAAUCUUCUAAACUUUUGCCAAAAUGCGCCGAAUCAUCCUACGGAUUUCCAAAUCCAAAUCCGAGCAUGUGCCUAAGUCUGAAAUUACCAUACGAAGCUAUUGGAGUCAUCAAAAUUUUAUUUCAGAGUCGUUUUCUCAAAAGUCAAAUCUCUGGUCAAACUUAAGAAAUCUUUAGCAUUAGAUCUCUAGAUUUAGUUAAAUGGCAAUAAUCUGAGUCGGGGACCUCCGAAUUCAAUUCCGGGCAUACGUCCAAGUCCCAAAUCACAAUACGGACCUAAGGGAACUAUCAAAACACUAAUCCAAGUCUAUUUGCUCAAAAUGUUGACCGAAGUCAACUCGGUUGAGUUUUAAAGCUCAAUUCACAUUUUAAUCCAUUUUUCACAUAAACACAUUCCGGAAAAUUAUACGGAUUGCGCAUGCAAGUCGAGGAAUGAUUAAUAACGCUUUUCAAGGUCUUAAAAUAGUGAGAUGAUUAUUUAAUUUGAAGAUGACAUUUUGGGUCAUCACAUUCUCCACCUCUAAAAUAAAUGUGCGUCCUCGAACGUACUAAGAAUUAUUCUGAAGUUACCAAAUUGAUUAAUUUACUUUUAUACAUAUACUCACGGUUGACCCCAUGUUACCGCAUUCGACAUAAGUCCGACAACACCAUUUCAAUUGAGAUUAUUUCCUUUAUCCAUAUUUGUAAACUUUAAGACCAAAUUUCGUACACUCCGAAUAUUUUCAAAAAGGUCAGAUUUUCAAAUCAACACAAGAUAUGAGUCUUGACUGGCAAUAACAACCCGUGCCUACGCACACAUCAACUUUUUAAUAGUGCUUAACUACUUCAAAAAAAUUUUGGGGUGUUACAUUCUACCCCACUUAGGGUCAUUCGUACUCAAGUGAGAAGUAGAGUCCAUCCUUAAAUACAUAAUGUAGUUUAUCUCUUUCUUCGCAUAUCUUGAUGUCCCAAUUUUUUUUAAACAAUUUCGGCAGUGCCUCCCUUGUAAUUGGGCAUAUCCACCUAUCAGAGUAACACCAAAACAACUCCUAACAACAUAUUCACAACCCAACAAAGCACCACAAUGUAUAUAUCAAUAACACUAAUCUCUGCAUUACAAGCACGGCAUUAUCAUAGUGAUAUCUUGACAUGAAACACAUCAUAUGUAUGACCAUAACCACAUCUCGGGUUUUAAUAGUUGUUCAUAAUAGAUUACAACAUCGCCAAUUAACCUCAUGUUAAAAAAAAUCUCAUUUCAAAUCUCCACUUUACUAACAACGAGACAUGAAAACCUAAUAAUUACCUACCCAAAAUAACGAGUCACAAUUUAACGUCACCUGGGCACUCACCUUGUAGGCUAAAACUCAAUAAUUACAAUACAAAUUUGGCAAAUUAUGCACAGAGAUAUUCAUACAAGAAUUUUCAAAUGAGCCUAAUAGGCAUGACUCCUUAUAAAUACUAUAGUACAAAUUUUAAUUUCACAAAGGGAGCAUUUAAACACAUAAUUUUUUUCCACCAUAAGGACCUCGUCCUUAUAUAACAUCCUCCGUAGCUUGUGGCCCGGUUUAAAUAUUUCACAUUAUAUAAAAAUACGAGGAUAUCAUCCUCAACUCUGUUUCACAAGUAAUAUGCACAUCGUGCCAAAUCGGAACAUUCCAUUGUCUUCUUUUAAAUAAUUUUCGUUAAACAAAAUCACAACAUAUAAUGAACCCUCAUAUCGGUAGGGCAUAUAAUUCACAAUUGAAAUUAAUUAUCUGAAAAUUACAUCAACGUACCGAAAUAAUUAACAAAAGUUAUUCUUAGCCUCACAACUAUUUUUAGUGACCAACACAUAAUGAUAGGCAUACCUAUCUCCAUAUAAUCUCACAAUAGGAGUGUUCUCAUAAGUAGAUUUCAGGGGUACGAAGCUCACUCAUGAGUGGAGCAUAUUAGAAGGAUUUUCCUCGAUACUCAUAACCUAACCAAGUUAAGAAAAUUGUCACUUUAUAAUAAUCUGAGAUCGUACUUGUAGCGAUACCGUCUGGUAUAGCAACCUCAGCCAUGCCAUAGAAAAUAUAUCAACGGACUGGGUCUCCACUUGUAGGAUUCUCACCUCCACCUCUAACAUCCUGACCUCUACCUCUGGCUGGUCAUGUAAUUGGAGUAGUAACUACAAUAAGGCACGUAGCCUGAGUGCUUUGAUAAAAUAUGUCUCUCCCAAGUCUAGGACAAUUUUCUCAUGAUGUUCCUAGUACCACCACAUUCAUAUCAAUCCCUUUGAGGGUUCAAUGGCUUAUACUGAGUCUGUACUAGAUAACUGGAAUAACCAUUGUACGGCCCUCGUGUCAGUAGUACAUUAAAAGAACUUACUGGAGCACCCCGAGUUGUACAAAAUUUCAAGAUCAUAAUUGAGUUCUUUAAUGAGUUCGUUGACUCUCUCUCUCUUUUUGGAUGUAGGAACCAAAGUAGGAGUAUGAUGGCUAACCUAUUGAACCUGAUGACAUGUUCUGACACUGUCAUAGUAACCUGAUGCAACCAUUCAAACCCUGUGUGCCACACAUUACAGAGAAUCGUGGAAAUAAACUCUUUCAAAAGCAUUUCUGAGAAUUGAGAUGAGUAGGUGGUGUUGCAUUCGCUGGUCUGCCCUCUUCAUAGGCUUGCCACAAACACCGGCUGCUAAUUUCCUCUUUUCCUAUGCGGGCUUAACACUGUUGAGCUACCCCAUUUAUGCAUAUACUCUUCGUUAUUCUUUGGGAUAAUUCUUACCCCUAUUUAUGCACAACGAUCACAAAGGUAAAUCUCUAUACAGAUAAAUCUUGGCACAAACCACAUAGUCCAGAAGGUCGUCUACCACUAUACUUCCUCCGAAGCACCCCAAAAUCUGCAACCGUGACUUCCAUGCUGAGUAGACCUUCUAUAAAUUUAAAGUUGAUUCUCUAACUCUUUUGGUACUGAAGUAAUUGAUUAUUAAGGAGGCAGACGUACCGUAAGUCCCAAUCCUAUCCCUUGCAAAAUAUAAGGCAUUAAAUAUGUGUGUAUUAUUGGGGAGCCUGUUACAUCUCACAUUUUCGUAUGUUAAAAUUUCAUUUUUAGUUAACCAAUGUGGACCCGAGGACAAGAUCAUCUUGACGUUAACGUAUUUACGCUAUUUGUAACUAGCAAUAAAUAAGUAUUAUGAAGGAUAAAGGGGUACACGAAUUAAAAAAACGAGUUUUCGUCGAAAGUGGCCAAUUUGGAAUAAAAUAUGGGUCGAGCAAUAAUACCCAAUAAUUAUGAACUAGUAUCAUGCAAGGUACCAUAUGACCACUAUAGUAUAAUGUGUAAAGUAUAUAUAUAUAUAGUAUAUUAAAAAUAAAUUAAAUUUUAAGUAAUUUGGAGCAAUUUUUAAAUUAUGUGGGUAAUUGGUUAAUUAUCGGGUAACGGGACAUUACCCGAUUAACUAAUAAGUGGCUAAGAACUUAAUAAUUACCACCCCACACACACACAAAUACGUGGAAAGAAGCCACCAAGUCAAGAAGUAACUAAGUAGUCACUUAUGCCUAGGUGGCAACUUGAGCAUAAAUAAGAUGGCUGACUAACCAAGUCAUCUGCUAAAAUCCAAUGUGAAUCAAAAGUGAACCCAAAAAAUGUUAGUCUUUCCAAACUUUAAAGAAACAAAAACGUUAUUCAACUCAAGUUCUCAAGGAACCAAAAAAUGUUUCCUCUCAGUUUCAAGGAAACCAAAAUUGUUAUUUCGUUCCAAAAUUUUAGGAGCCAGAAACAAUUUUCGCCCAUGAAUUUCUAAGAAGUAGAGGAUAAUUUCGUUCAAUCAACGAAGGUUUUCCAACGAAAUAAUAUACGGAGUUUUCUCUACUCCAGGUAUAUUAAGGCCCUCUCUUCUUUCUUUUAGCAUGGUCCAAAUUAUACUAAAGAAACGAGCAAACACACAGUUUUCAUAAAUUACUGUAACGACCCGGCCGAUCAUUUUAAGAAUUUGUGCCCUGAUUCCCUAUUAACUGAUUUCCCUGUGUUUUUCUGCUAUUGUGAGUUGCCGGGAUGGUUUAUUUUGAGUUUCGAAGAGUUUUGGGACAUUUAGUCCAUAAAUGAGAGCUUAAGUUUUGGAAAUUUGACCGUAGUCGGAACAGUAUGAAGAUGGCCUCGAAAUGAAAUUCUGAUGGUUCUGUUAGCUCUGUUGGGUGAUUUCGGGUAUAGGAGCAUGUUCGGAUUGUGUUUUGGAGUUCCAUGGCUAAUUUAGGCUUGAAAUGCCGAAAGUUGAAUUUUUGAAAUUUUUGGUUCGAUAGUAAGAUUUUGAUCCGAGGGUCGGAAUGAAAUUCUGAAAGUUGGAGUAGCUCUUUAGUGUUGAAUGUGACGUGUGUGCAAAAUUUCAGGUCAUUAGAACGAGGUUUGAUGGACUUUUUGAUUGAAAGCGUAAUUUGAGAGUUUUUAAAAUUCUUAGGCUUUAAUCCGAUGAAAAAUUGGUGUUUUGAUGUUGCUUUGAGCAUUUCGAAGAAUGGAAAAAGUUUGAAUGAUGUUUCAAGAUUAGUUGGGUUUGGUUGAGGUCUCGGGGGCCUCGGGUGUAUUUCGGAUGCUCAACGGGUCAUUUUGGAACUUGUUGGAAUUCCUGAACUGCUGGUAUUUGGUUUUCUUAUAUGCGAUUGCAAUAAUGGGGCGGCGAUCGCAUAGGUUUGUUGGUGAGGUGGCAGAAUUGGUGCUAUGCGAUCGCCAGGAUUGGUUCGCGACCACGAAGUGAGAGGAUCCAAAGCAGUAUGGUCGCUUGAUGUUGUAUGCGAACGCAUAGUGUGGGCGUAUGUGGCAGGGUUUUAAAAGCCCAAUCCGCGACCCUUCUUCAUUUUCCACCAUUUUUGAAUGGGAUUGAAGCUUUUGAGGGAGAUUUUUGAGGAAACCAAAGAGGAAUUACUUGGAGGUAACAUUUUUGACUUCAUAUCUCAUUUAUAUGUGAUUAAAGUUCUAAUUAGUGGUGAAAAAUUAGGGAAAAAUCAGUGCAAAAUGGGUAACUAGGGCUUAAGAUUAAGAGACCUUAAAAUGGGUAUUUGAGGGGUCAAUUUAACUCUGAUUUCAGUGUUCUUGUUAUGUAUAGACUCAUGAGAGUAUGAGGAUUCUUAAAAUUUAAAUUUUACCCGAUUCCGAGAUGUGGGCCUGGGGCAUUUUGGUCAUUUUACCUAAUUUUGCGUAUUAUCUUAGAAUUUAUUUGUAGAAUUAGUUACUUAAAGUGUUAUUUACAUUAUGCAAUUGAAUUGAAUAGAUUUGGGCCAUUUGGAGUCGAGUACUCGUGGCAAGAACGUAGUUUCUGAUUGACUUUGAUCCGGUUCGAGGUAAGUGACUUGCCUAACCUUGUGUGGGGGACAUUCCCCUUAGGAUUUGGUAUUAUUGAUAAUGGAAAUGCCUUGUACGUGAGGUGACAAGUGCGUACUUGUGCUAAUUAUUGAAAAUCCGGUUUCCAUUAAGUAUUUACUAGUAUGUUUCUUUUCAUGUGUUAUACUACUUGCAAUUUAAGCCUGUUGUUAGCUUAGGAAAGCAUGUCUAAUUGACUUAAUUGCCUUACUUGCUCAAACUGCCUUAUUUGGAUUACGUGCAGCAUGCUAGGUUAGAAAUACCUGUUUUACCUUGGUAUGGAACUUGAAUUGAAAUGUGUACUCUUCUUGUUGUUGAUGUGUGUUUACUUUGGGACUACGGGACAGUAUCCCGGGAGAUCCCCCUGUAUGUUUACUUUGGGAUUACGAAACGGUAUUCUGGGAGAUCCCCCUGCACAUUUACAUUGGAACUACAGGGUUGCACCCGGUAGAUUCCCCCUGUACUGAGUAUUUACAUUUGGGACUACGAAUCGGUAUUCCGGGAGAUGCCCUCGUAUUAUGAGUUGGACUACGGGACGGUAUCCCGGGAGAUCCACUGGAUAUUUAUAUUUGGGACUAUAGGACGGUAUCCUGGGAGAUGCCCGGUUGUUAUAUUUGUGUUGAGUUAUAUUUCUUUCCGUGUUUACUUUGCCUCUGUAGUAAUUGUUGUUAUCCUUUAUAUCCUGUGUUACUUUUACUGUUGUACUUAUUUAUACUAUUUUAUUCUACAUUGUUGAACUUUAUAUUUUAUUUAACCUCGGUAGGGCCCUGACCUUCCUUGUUACUACCCGACCGAGGUUAGGCUUGGCACUUACUGAGUACCGUUGUGGUGUACUCAUGACCUUUCUGCGCAUGUUUUUCCUGUGCAGAUCCAAGUACUUCCACUCAGACUUAUCACGCUUGAGACGAUACGCUUGUAGAGACUCCGAGGUAUAUCUGCUGUGUCCGCAGACCGAAGAGUCCCUUUCUACUCUCUCUUUUUGUAUUAGCCCUUCUGUACUUUUGUUUCUUUGUUAGACAUUCUGGAGUUAGAUGCUUGUAGACAUUCAAAGGCUUGUGAUCAUGAGAUUCUGGGUUUUGGGAAAUGUUAUUAGCUUCGAGAGUUGUUAUUGUGUAUGUUGAGCGGCAUUUUAAAUACUAUUUUAUUUUACUAUUUCGAUUUUUAUAAUUGUUCUUCUGCAAUUAUUUUUUAUAUUCUGUAUUUUUAGGCUUACCUAGUCGUAGAGAAUAUGUGCCAUCAUCAUGGUUCAUACGGGGCGAACCGGUAUCGUGACAAGUUGGUAUCAGAGCUAUAGGUUCAUAGGAGUCAUGAAUCACAAGCCGGUUUAUUAGAGUCUCGCUGAUCGGUACGGAGACGUCUGUACUUAUCUGCGAGAGGCUAUGUAACUGUUAGGAAAAUUCCACUUUAUUUGAUUUCCUUGUCGUGCGAGAUUUUGAUGUCGCAAUUCUAAACUUAUGUCUUCUAUUCUCUCACAGAUGGUGAGAACACGUGCUACCCGAGAUGAUCAGGCACCCGCGCCCCUUACUGCAGCCGUCAGAGGCCGAGGUCGGGGUAGAGGCCGAGGACGUGCAUGUGGUGCAGCUAGAGCACCCGUACGAGCUGCCAGCGAGGUACCACCAGCAGUUCUAGCUGAAGUCCAGGCACCUGAUAUGCCUACUGUUACUAUUACUCCAGCUCUUCAGGCGACUCUUGCGCAGUUCAUGAGCAUGUACGCCACUUUGACUUAGGCAGGGUUGCUUCCCCUUGAUGCAGCCACAUCUUAGGCCGAGGAAGGAGCACAGACUCCUGCCGCCCACACUCCUAAGCAGCGAGUGCAUAUUGAUUAGGUCCUAGGGAUUAUUCCUGUAUAGCCUCUACUCCCAAGUCUGCCUGAGGAUAGGGAAGCGACUUCAGAGGAUGAGCAGCGGAGACUUGAGAGGUUCAAGAAGUAUGAUCCUCUUGUAUUCAGUGGGUUAGCAUCAGAUGAUGCCUUGGGAUUUCUAGAGGAGUGUCAUCGUAUCCUCCACACUAUGGGUAUAUCAGGAUCGAGUGGGGUUUCUUUCACUACCUUUCAGCUUCGAGAAGUUGCCUAUGAGUAGUGGCGCACCUAUGAAUUAGACAGUCCGGAUGAAGCAGCUUCACUAACUUGGACUCAGUUUUCAGAUAUGUUCCUGAGAGAGCUUAUUCCUCAGAGCCUCAGGGACGCAUGUCGUGUAGAGUUUGAAUAUUUGCUCCAGGGUACUAUGACUGUCUCGGAGUAUGCUGUCCCUUACACUAGAUUGGCUAGACAUGCCCCAGCCUUGGUUUCUACUGUUCGCAAGAGGGUUCGUNNNNNNNNNNNNNNNNNNNNNNNNNNNNNNNNNNNNNNNNNNNNNNNNNNNNNNNNNNNNNNNNNNNNNNNNNNNNNNNNNNNNNNNNNNNNNNNNNNNNNNNNNNNNNNNNNNNNNNNNNNNNNNNNNNNNNNNNNNNNNNNNNNNNNNNNNNNNNNNNNNNNNNNNNNNNNNNNNNNNNNNNNNNNNNNNNNNNNNNNNNNNNNNNNNNNNNNNNNNNNNNNNNNNNNNNNNNNNNNNNNNNNNNNNNNNNNNNNNNNNNNNNNNNNNNNNNNNNNNNNNNNNNNNNNNNNNNNNNNNNNNNNNNNNNNNNNNNNNNNNNNNNNNNNNNNNNNNNNNNNNNNNNNNNNNNNNNNNNNNNNNNNNNNNNNNNNNNNNNNNNNNNNNNNNNNNNNNNNNNNNNNNNNNNNNNNNNNNNNNNNNNNNNNNNNNNNNNNNNNNNNNNNNNNNNNNNNNNNNNNNNNNNNNNNNNNNNNNNNNNNNNNNNNNNNNNNNNNNNNNNNNNNNNNNNNNNNNNNNNNNNNNNNNNNNNNNNNNNNNNNNNNNNNNNNCCUGAUGUGUUUCCAGCUGAUCUUCCGGGCAUGCCUCCCGAUAGAGAUAUCAAUUUUGGCAUUGAUCUGUUGCUGGGUACUCAGCCCAUUUCUGUUCCUCCGUAUCGUAUGGCUCCUUCUGAGUUGAAGAAGUUGAAGGAUCAGUUACAGGAAUUGUUUGAUAAGGGUUUUAUUAGGCCAGUGUAUCACCUUGGGGUGCUUCUAUCUUGUUUGUGAAGAAAAGGGAUGGUUCUAUGCGUAAGUGUAUUGAUUAUCGCCAGUUGAACAAAGUUACAGCGAAGAACUGUUAUCCUUUGCCUCGUAUUGAUGAUUUGUUUGACUAGCUUCAGGGCGCAUGGGUGUUUUCUAAGAUUGACUUGCGCUCAGGUUACCAUCAUUUGAAGAUUCGGGAGCCAGAUAUCCCAAAGACUGCUUUCAGGACUCGAUAUGGUCAUUACGAGUUCCUUGUUAUAUCAUUUGGGCUGACCAAUGCCCUAGCAGCCUUUAUGCAUUUGAUGCACAGUGUGUUCCGGCCGUAUCUUGACUCGUUCGUCAUUGUCUUUAUUAAUGAUAUUAUGGUAUAUUCCCGGAGUCGGGAAGAUCAUGAGCAGCACCUGAGGACAGCACUCCAGACUCUAAGGGAAAAAAAGUUAUAUGCUAAGUUCUCGAAAUGUGAGUUUUGGUUGGAUUCCGUGGCAUUCUUAGGUCACGUGAUAUUCUGAUGUUACACCUAACAAGAAGUACCAUAGUAAAACUUCUCAAUGCCGAUGUAAAGAGAACGGGGAGCAUAAAAUAGAGGCGGUCACAGGAUUAGAAGGUGGCAAGGGCGCAUAAGCGGAUUGCUCGAUCAAUGCUCCCAUCAGAUGUCUUAAGAGUUUCUAAUAAAAUAUAUGACGGUCUUCAACGCGCGCGCACACACAUAUAUAUAUAUAUCCAAAAUACUUGUCGAGGUUAACGGGACAGGUGACCCCUCUCCUCAACACAUAGGACCACCUCUGGCAGAACACUCAUAAUAAAUAGAAGUAGUAUAUUAAAAUGAGCAAAAUCGUCAGAAAGGGGCAGAGACAAAGGGGUGCUUCGUCAGAAAAGAAGGUAUGCAUAGGCAUUCAUAAAAGACAGUAUUUUAAGGGUUUGAACAAAUUUCAGGCGUAUCAUGUGGUUUGGGCGAGGAAAAGACAGAGAAACCAACAAAACAAAUUGAAAUAGUCAGAAAAUAGUGAAUCAGGAGAUACAAUCCACUAGACAAGAGAGAAGGGAAGCCAUAAUAAUAAUAAUAAUAAUAAUAAUAAUAAUAAUAAUAAUAAUAAUAAUAAAUUCCAGGUGAUUAUGUCAUGAAGGGAGGUUUGGAGCAACGGUUAAACAGUCUCCAUGUGAUCUACAGGUCACGGGUUCGAGCAGCGGAAUCAGCCCUAUCUCCAUGUGAUCUACAAGUCAAGGGUUCGAGCCGCGGAAUCAGGCAUUGAUACUUGUAUCAGGGUAAGUUACCUAUGUUACCUCCUUGGAGUGCAACCCCUACCCAGCGUGACCGUGGGAGCACCUGACUACCAUUUGCCAGGUGAUUAUGUCAUCUUAGCAAUUUUAAGUAGCUGAAAAUAUUUUUUCGCCGAAUCCUACUAUGCCCACAAAAAAUGAAGUUGAUGUUUAUUUUGUUUGUCCUGUUUGCAGUCGCUGGCUUGAGGUUAAAUUGACCAAAAGAAAAAAAAACUAUUACCUAGAAGAUACCUAUUAACCGCCUCUAAGCAGAAUACAUUUGCAAAACAGGAAGCAAGCGACAUGUAAGAAUAAAAAAAUAUGAGCCAAGCAAAGGCAACCAACAUAUCCCUACACAAAAAUAAAUAAAUACUGAACUUGAACUUGAUAGCCAAGAUCCCAUGAUAUGGGAUAAUACUAGGUAUGUUAUUAUUGAACUUGAUGGUGGAGAGACAGAUAAUUUAGAAACUGAUAAAAGAACAAAUAAUGGAAUUGGGUAUGUAACAGCUAUAUAUAGGGGCAAAGCUUACACGAUGAGAGACGAGAAUAACACGGGAGUGGCGUUUCAUCAAAUACUGAAUGGCUGGAAGAGCGUCUAGGAUUCUGGUGUCAUCUUCGAUACUUGAGGCCAUCUCCAACCUUGCCCCCAUUCUCCAUAAUAGAGGAAAUAUUUGGGGGAAUUUAGCUCCAACCCUCC